rnacentral:rRNA from 1 species
UUAAGUGACUAAGCGUACACGGUGGAUGCCUGGGCAGUCAGAGGCGAUGAAGGACGUACUAACUUGCGAUAAGCGCAGAUAAGGCAGUAAGAGCCGUUUGAGUCUGCGAUUUCCGAAUGGGGAAACCCAACUGCAUAAGCAGUUACUGUUAACUGAAUACAUAGGUUAACAGAGCAAACCGGGGGAACUGAAACAUCUAAGUACCCCGAGGAGAAGAAAUCAACCGAGAUUCCGGUAGUAGCGGCGAGCGAACCUGGAUUAGCCCUUAAGCACUCGGUGAAGUAGGUGAACAAGCUGGAAAGCUUGGCGAUACAGGGUGAUAGCCCCGUAACCGACGCUUCAUCGAGCGUGAAAUCGAGUAGGGCGGGACACGUGAUAUCCUGUCUGAAUAUGGGGGGACCAUCCUCCAAGGCUAAAUACUCCUGACUGACCGAUAGUGAACCAGUACCGUGAGGGAAAGGCGAAAAGAACCCCUGUGAGGGGAGUGAAAUAGAACCUGAAACCGUGUACGUACAAGCAGUAGGAGCACCUUCGUGGUGUGACUGCGUACCUUUUGUAUAAUGGGUCAGCGACUUAUAUUCAGUGGCAAGGUUAACCGUAUAGGGGAGCCGUAGCGAAAGCGAGUCUUAACUGGGCGCUCAGUCUCUGGAUAUAGACCCGAAACCGGGUGAUCUAGCCAUGGGCAGGUUGAAGGUUGAGUAACAUCAACUGGAGGACCGAACCGACUAAUGUUGAAAAAUUAGCGGAUGACUUGUGGCUAGGGGUGAAAGGCCAAUCAAACUCGGAGAUAGCUGGUUCUCCCCGAAAGCUAUUUAGGUAGCGCCUCGGACGAAUACUACUGGGGGUAGAGCACUGUUAAGGCUAGGGGGUCAUCCCGACUUACCAACCCUUUGCAAACUCCGAAUACCAGUAAGUACUAUCCGGGAGACACACGGCGGGUGCUAACGUCCGUCGUGGAGAGGGAAACAACCCAGACCGCCAGCUAAGGUCCCAAAGUAUUGCUAAGUGGGAAACGAUGUGGGAAGGCUCAGACAGCUAGGAUGUUGGCUUAGAAGCAGCCAUCAUUUAAAGAAAGCGUAAUAGCUCACUAGUCGAGUCGGCCUGCGCGGAAGAUGUAACGGGGCUAAGCAAUACACCGAAGCUGCGGCAAUGUCUUUUAGACAUUGGGUAGGGGAGCGUUCUGUAAGCCGUUGAAGGUGAAUCGUAAGGUUUGCUGGAGGUAUCAGAAGUGCGAAUGCUGACAUGAGUAACGACAAAGGGGGUGAAAAACCUCCUCGCCGGAAGACCAAGGGUUCCUGUCCAACGUUAAUCGGGGCAGGGUGAGUCGACCCCUAAGGUGAGGCCGAAAGGCGUAAUCGAUGGGAAACGGGUUAAUAUUCCCGUACUUCUGACUAUUGCGAUGGGGGGACGGAGAAGGCUAGGUGGGCCAGGCGACGGUUGUCCUGGUUCAAGUGCGUAGGCUUGAGAGUUAGGUAAAUCCGGCUCUCUCUAAGGCUGAGACACGACGUCGAGCUACUACGGUAGUGAAGUCAUUGAUGCCAUGCUUCCAGGAAAAGCCUCUAAGCUUCAGAUAGUCAGGAAUCGUACCCCAAACCGACACAGGUGGUCGGGUAGAGAAUACCAAGGCGCUUGAGAGAACUCGGGUGAAGGAACUAGGCAAAAUGGUACCGUAACUUCGGGAGAAGGUACGCUCUUGAUGGUGAAGUCCCUCGCGGAUGGAGCUGACGAGAGUCGCAGAUACCAGGUGGCUGCAACUGUUUAUUAAAAACACAGCACUGUGCAAAAUCGCAAGAUGACGUAUACGGUGUGACGCCUGCCCGGUGCCGGAAGGUUAAUUGAUGGGGUUAGCGCAAGCGAAGCUCUUGAUCGAAGCCCCGGUAAACGGCGGCCGUAACUAUAACGGUCCUAAGGUAGCGAAAUUCCUUGUCGGGUAAGUUCCGACCUGCACGAAUGGCGUAAUGAUGGCCACGCUGUCUCCACCCGAGACUCAGUGAAAUUGAAAUCGCUGUGAAGAUGCAGUGUACCCGCGGCUAGACGGAAAGACCCCGUGAACCUUUACUACAGCUUGGCACUGAACAUUGAACCUACAUGUGUAGGAUAGGUGGGAGGCUAUGAAGACGUGACGCCAGUUGCGUUGGAGCCGUCCUUGAAAUACCACCCUUGUAUGUUUGAUGUUCUAACUUAGACCCGUUAUCCGGGUUGAGGACAGUGCCUGGUGGGUAGUUUGACUGGGGCGGUCUCCUCCC